CUCCGACACUGAGGCUCAGAACCCAGUGACUGAGAAGUUUCCUCCAGACGCCUUGUCUUCUAGAAGCACCUAUUCAUUCUUAACGCUCUGGAUCAUUCUUGAUUUUUGCGGUUUCUCCUCUCCUGGUCAGGCUUCAUCUUUUAUCAUUUUCCCCUCCAGACUUUUAGUGGGGAACAGCUCUAAGGAGAAGAUUACAACUCCCAGUGGUUGGCCAGGGGAAAGAGCCAGCUUCUCAAACACAGGAAAUGAAUGAGAAAAACAAAGACAGCCUGGCAGAAAGUGGUUGUGUACGAUGUAUCAAGAUGGACCUUGGGAAACAUGGAAGGGGUACCCUCAGGAUGCCUGAGAAAAGUCUUCAAGAUGGUACAAUUCUUUUUUUAUAUACAAGUAUUUAUUUUGGCUGUGCCGCACAUGGGAUCUUUAGUCACGGCAUGUGGGAUCCAGUUCCCUGACCGGGGACUGAGCCCAGGUCCCCUGCGUUGGGAGCAUGGAGUCUUAGCCACUGGACCACCAGGGACACCCCCUAGAAUUCUACUUUAGACGGUCUGGAAUGAACGUUUAUCCUGAUUCCAUGGCCCAUCAAUACUCCAUGCAGUCCUGACUCCUCCCAGUGUUACAGGGUGAAGGUCACUCACAAAAAGUGAGCUUGGACGCAGCAGACCAAGGAGGCCCAGCCCUGGGCCUGAACUAGAGGAAACAGAGGCUUUCCUGUGCAUCUUUGCCACGAGAAACUAAAGUGUCCAAACACCUACAGAACGGCAUCAUCUGUUGCUCUUUUUUUAGUUUUUUUUGUUUUUCCCUUGGCAAAUGGUCAAUAAAGCAGAAAACUCUUAUCAUCUCAAUCCUUGUUGAGAAGUUACAUACCCAUGCCCUUGGUGCCUCUGAAUUCUGUAGGCAAUGCCUCUCCAAAAAUACAAUAUUCAAAUAAGAACAAAGUGAAGACUGUUCAGCCGCUUUGGCAAGCACUCUGCUAAUAGUAAUUACUGAUGUCAUGAUUUGAUGUCUUCAGACACAUCGCAAGCCUCGUGCUGGAAAUUUGCAGCGAGAACCAGAUACAAACCUCCAUGGAUACAACAGCAGUUUACGUAUUAUCUUUGGCACGAACUUCUGCCUUCUUGUGAGCGUGAACGAAAAAAGGUGCAGUCCAGCGUUUCUGUUAGGGUUCACUGAUUGGAAAGUUGGCAAUGUUAAAAUGUGUAUUUAUCAAAAUCAUGGAUUCCUUGAGGCUGGACGUAAUUUUUCCUCUCCUCUUUCUUCUGCUAAACGAGGGAGAAGGUGGGACGAGAAGGCAGAGCAAAGCAAGAGAAGCACGCACAUUUUCUUAAAUCCAGAGAUGGAAAUGGAGCCCUUCUUACUGAGCCUUCUCCAGAUGAAUGCCACCAGACAUUCCUGGAGGCAUUGCCCUGGCUUUCUUCCCUGAGUCCCUCGGCUGAACUUCUAACUCACUCCAAGGGUGUGUUGGGUCCUACCUACUUUCUUGAAAGGGGCUUGUUUUGAACGCAUAUAGCUUUCAGCCCUGCAGUUCUAUUCCUAGGAACUUACCCUAUAGUUUUAUUAGCACACAUGGAGAAUUAUAUAUAUUAUAUAUACAGUAAGACUCCUAGAGGGUGUGGAGAAAAGGGAACCCUCCUACA